GUCGAGCGCGAAGUACUUCGGUACGAGUAGAGCGGCGGACGGGUGAGUAACGCGUAGGAAUCUACCCAGUAGUGGGGGACAACUCGGGGAAACUCGAGCUAAUACCGCAUACGCCCUAAGGGGGAAAGCGGGGGAUCUUCGGACCUCGCGCUAUUGGAAGAGCCUGCGUUGGAUUAGCUAGUUGGUGGGGUAAAGGCCUACCAAGGCGACGAUCCAUAGCUGGUCUGAGAGGAUGAUCAGCCACACCGGGACUGAGACACGGCCCGGACUCCUACGGGAGGCAGCAGUGGGGAAUAUUGCGCAAUGGGGGCAACCCUGACGCAGCCAUGCCGCGUGUGUGAAGAAGGCCUUCGGGUUGUAAAGCACUUUCACUUGGGAAGAAAGAUUCGUAGCUAAUACCUGCGAGUUGUGACAUUACCUUGAGAAGAAGCACCGGCUAACUCCGUGCCAGCAGCCGCGGUAAUACG
rnacentral:rRNA from 1 species